UUAAAUUAGAAUUUAUGAUCUCCUGCUCGUUUAAUAGCCAUCUAGAGACUGCAGGAGCCUUCUUUGUGUGAUUGAAGCUUAAUUUACUGAACAAUGGAUAGAAAUUUCUUAAAUAAGUUAACAUCUGAAUGAAUAUGAAACAAAUUUUUCAUGCAGGCUAUGUGAGUCAUAGUCAAGAGAGGGGUGGCUAGGGUAUAAACAUAAACAGAACCAAAAGUGAUUUAACUCCUAACUGGCAGAUAAUGUGUGACAGCAGAGGCAUGAUCUGUACACCCAAACUGCUUCAGUAAGCAAAAAUUUUUUUGAUGCAUAUAGUGUCCCUUUAAAGGGACUCUGUCGGUAGCCAGACCACUUUAGCUCAUUGAAGUGGGCUGGGUGCUGUGACCCUUUUGCACUUAAUGCUGCAAUGUAAAAAUUGCAGUUCCGGAGAACUGCACUGUUUACAUUGCAGCUCUAAGUCUGCCCUCUGUGGCCUCUGCCACUAGAGGGCUUCAGGAAUCUAAACUGACUUUUGGUCUAUUAUCUGACGCUGGACAUUGGUGCUGGAUUUAGGUAAGUGGCUGGAAGUGUUUUAACCCCUUCAGCCCCAUGGGAGGGGGGACCUAAGGAAGGGGGAGUGGACCUAUUAACCCUAUAGUGCCAGAAAAACGGCAUUGUUUUCCUGGCACUGUAACAUCUCUGUAAUGUUAGGUGUUGGGAGAAGUGAUUGGAUCAGUAUGUGAUCUAAUGACCCCAUUAGGUUUGAAUAUAUUACAGAAUACACAUAGAAGGCUGUGCUUAGUUACAGAAAUACGUAUAAGUGUUCAAUUUAAUUUUGCAUUGUUCUUCUGUUUUAUGAUUGACAGGUCAUUUAAACUUAUGUAUAUCUCACUCCAUUUGGGAGAACUGUGCAAAUAAGACAUUGUAGAGCAUGCAGUGUGCUAGAUAAUACAUAUUAUUGCUUAUAGACCCAUGUUUACAGGUUUUAAAGGUCCACAAGAAUUGCACUUUUCCUGAACAUAAGUGUUUGGGGCCAAAUUAAAACCAGUACAAUGGCAGAGAUUCAAAAGAGAUUCAGUUGGAGAUUGGUAUUGUAUCACAUUCACAACCCCAAGGGAUUCAUGGGGGCUGAUUAUGAUAUGAAUGUUUGUGGACUCAUCUAAUGUGAUUGAGGGUGUAGUUUACUGAGUGUGAUUGAGGCUGGCAAUGGGUGAGUAUGAUAGGGUGUGGGGAUUGGCUGAGUGUGAUUGUGCGUUGAGUUGGCUGAGUGUGAUUAUGUAGGUGGUUGUCUCGGUGUGAUUUUGUAUGGAGGUGUCUGAGUGCAAUUGUGUGUGGGCUUGGCUGAGUGUGAUUGUGGGGAUUUGCUCACUGUGAUUGUGUGUGCAGUUCUCUGAGUGUGAUUGUGUGUUGGGUUGGCUGAGUGUGAUUAUGUAGGUUGUUGUCUAGGUGUGAUUUUGUAUGGAGUUCUCUGAGUGUGAUUUUGUGUGGGGUUGGCCGAAUCUGAUUGUUAGGAUUCGCUCCGUAUGAUUGUAUGUGGAGUUGUGUGAGUGUGAUUGUGUGUAGAGUUAUGUGAGAGUGUGUGUGGAGUUGGCUAAGUGUUUGUGAAAUAUUUACACCAUAAAAAACGUGUUGUUUUUUUAAACCCCUCCAUCCCUCUUCAUGUGCUUACCUUUCUGCAAGGAUGGGGUAUAAUUCUCCAUGAUCUAGUUCAUGUCUGAUCAUUGGUGGUUCUCGAGUGCUGCUGGCUGCAUACUUGGGGGAGCUCAAGGGGCCCAGUCGUAAUAAUAACUAUUGUGACCCUAGUACAUGUGUCGGAGCCGACAAGGUUGGUAUAAAGAC
rnacentral:lncRNA from 1 species